AUGUCCGGCAGGACAAUUCCGACCUCAAUAAAAGGUCUCCGGGUGCCUCUGCUCCUCACACACCUUCAGCUCUCAGCAAGAACGGUCCUCGCUCCGGCCACCCUUCGCUCCUCUCCCAACACCAUGUGCUCCACUGGAUGCUGUUCCACGGGAUGCUGCUCUGUCGUGAAGAGCAAGACCGUGUGCUGCAGCCCCUGCAAGACGGUGUGCUGCAGCCCCUGCAAGACGGUGUGCUGCAGCCCCUGCAAGACGGUGUGCUGCAGCCCCUGCAAGACCGUCUGCUGCUCCCCGUGCCAGCAAUCCUGCUGCUGCGACCCGUGCCAGAAGCCUUGCUGUGACCCGUGCCAGUCUUGUUGUGACCCGUGCCAGAAGCCAUGCUGUGACCCGUGCCAGUCCUGCUGUGACCCGUGCCAGAAGCCUUGCUGUGACCCGUGCCAGUCCUGCUGUGACCCAUGCCAGAAGCCAUGCUGUGACCCAUGCCAGUCUUGUUGUGACCCGUGCCAGAAGCCAUGCUGUGACCCAUGCCAGUCCUGCUGUGACCCGUGCCAGAAGCCAUGCUGUGACCCGUGCCAGUCCUGCUGUGACCCAUGCCAGAAGCCAUGCUGUGACCCGUGCCAGUCCUGCUGUGACCCGUGCCAGUCCGUGUGCUGCACCAAGGUGUGCCAGAAGUCGGUGUGCUGUGUCCCCCGGCCCUGCUGCUGCCCCUGCGGGUCCCUGUCCUGCUGCUCCUGCGUGGUGAAGAAGCCCGUGAUGGUUUGCUGCACCCCGGUGAGGAAGUACUGCACGCCCUGCAUCCCCAUCCAGCAGUGCUGCGCCAGCCUCAAGAAGAGCUGCUGAGCUCACCCCGGGUGGCUCUGAGGGCUCCACAGGAGGAGGUGAAAAGCUGCUCGUUUACUUCUGCUUCUCAUCAUGAUGGAGCCAAUUCACAACGAUCUUCUUCUUCUUCUUCUCCAGCUUAAGCUGCAGCUUCUUUCUGUCCUUUAGUUGUUGACUGUCUUUAAUUAUUGACUUCCUUGGGUACAACCUGAAUUUGUCACCCAUUAUUGUAUAAGGCAUUAGAUAUUAGUGGGGUGUUAAUUCUCCUCUUGGGUGUUCGGGAAACCUUCGGUGUCACUGUGAUCACUCUUCCUUUCCUCUCUUGAUUUGUAGGCAAUAAAAUUUAGCAUCAAGCAAAACA
rnacentral:lncRNA from 1 species